CCGACCUUAGCUCAGUUGGUAGAGCGGAGGACUGUAGUGGGAGCAAAUAUCCCGAAUGCCAUCCUUAGGUCGCUGGUUCGAAUCCGGCAGGUCGGA
rfam:Picea glauca, whole genome shotgun sequence.